UUUGCAUUGGGUCGCAGUACAGCUGGUCCUGCACAGGCUCCAUCUAUUGCAUUGUCCUCUGAAGCUCCUAUUGAAAUCCUAGGAAGGCUUUCACACCAUCAGCUUCACCCAAACGAUUUCGUGAUUGACAGGAUUGACAAAUGGACCAAUUAGACAUUAGAUUUGUGGUUUUUGAUCAUUAGGCCUUGGAAAAAAGAAAGAGACGGAUCGUCAUUUUAAAAAGGCAUCACGGGACAACAAUGUGCAGUUCUGUGAGUGUAUGUGAACCUGCCUGUGCAGGAUUCCAUUCUUCCUGGCCAGAAAAUGAUGUGAAGCUAACAGUAUUGAAUGGGUUUGUCAAACCUGCAUCACUUUAAGGUUUGAUGCUCAGGACUUUUCUCGAGCCAUGACUGCCUGGAAUCUGCUCACCACAACACCUCUGUGCUGCCUGGAGUCUACUCACCACAACACCUCUGCUGUCUGCAGUCUCUUCUCCCUGCUUCUGGACACACCCGGUCACUUGGGAUUUCUUGAGCCCCAACUCUUGUCUGCACCGAGCUAUCAACGGCUCCCAAAGCUUUUCCUAAGCUGAACCCUCUCAGCAGCAUGGAACAAGCAAAUACCUACUGGGGCUUCGUCUGAACCCCGACUGAGUUACCAGAAAGCUCCCAGGGCGAACAUCAGCACUUUAGCUGCAUGGGGAUGGUCGUCUUUUUCUUCACCUGCUCAUGACUUACUGACUGACUAAAAUUGACUGACCCUUGAACUGCUCUUCACUGACUCUUGAACUGAUGUGAAGAACCUAUGAACACACUCACAGUGGGUCCCACCCUUGUUACUAGGUGGAAACAAUGCAACAGCAUUGGAAUACCCUUGAAAUAUUACGAUGUCCACAGGGACACACAGGGACACACUGAUCAAUGGAUUUCUUAACACUAGGGAGACCGAGGCUGAGGAUUACCAGCCUGAAUAUCCCUGCCGGAACUUGGAGGAGGAUACCACGUUUGAGUUUGAUCACUGUGACAUCUGACAGUAUGGGAUUUUCUGUGGUAUGAGACCUGCAGUUAAAAACAUUUACUGAGCAAUACAGGAUGUGAAGGAAAUUGUGUUGAUGCAUAAUAUGCCAAAUGGUUACUUUAUUAGAAUCAUGCUGUAUAUGACAGAUUCAUAUCAGUAGCUGCAACGAACGUGAAUUAUGCUGUAGCGUUAAUUACAAUUGUCUGGGUUUUAAGUUCAGCAGGCUGUUAA